rnacentral:rRNA from 1 species
UGGGGAAUAUUGCGCAAUGGGCGAAAGCCUGACGCAGCAACACCGCGUGAGGGAUGACGGCCUUCGGGUUGUAAACCUCUUUCAGCUCCGACGAAGCGAAAGUGACGGUAGGAGCAGAAGAAGCACCGGCUAACUACGUGCCAGCAGCCGCGGUAAUACGUAGGGUGCAAGCGUUGUCCGGAAUUACUGGGCGUAAAGCGCACGUAGGCGGACCAGAAAGUUGGGGGUGAAAUCCCGGGGCUCAACCCCGGAACUGCCUCCAAAACUAUUGGGUCUAGAGUUCGAGAGAGGUGAGUGGAAUUCCAAGUGUAGAGGUGAAAUUCGUAGAUAUUUGGAGGAACACCAGUGGCGAAGGCGGCUCACUGGCUCGAUACUGACGCUGAGGUGCGAAAGUGUGGGGAGCAAACAGGAUUUAGAUACCCUGGUAGUCCACACCGUAAACGAUGAGUGCUGAGAGUGUUUGGAUUUCGGAUUUCAGUGUCGUCAGCUAACGCAUUAAGCACUCCGCCU